rnacentral:SRP_RNA from 1 species
AGAUCGGGCAGGCGCAACGCCUCGCCAAGCCGGUCAGGGCCGAGAGGCAGCAGCCGUAACGAGAUUUUUGCGGGUUGAUCCGGUCUUCC